CCCUGUUUUUACAAAAACAUGUCUUAAUGAUUAAAAAUAUAUUAAGUCUGGCCUGCUCAAUGAUUUAUUAAAUAGCCGCAGUAUAUUAACUGUGCAAAGGUAGCAUAAUCAUUUGUCUUUUAAUUGAAGGCUUGUAUGAAUGGUUGGAUGAAAGAAUUACUUUCUUUAUAUUAUAAAUUUUAAUUUAAUAUUUUAGUUAAAAAGCUUAAAUAUAUAAGUGGGACGAGAAGACCCUGUAGAAUUUUAUUUAUGUAUAAUUUUAAUAGACUGGUUAUUAUUUAUUAAAUUAAAUAUUGUAAAUUUUGUUGGGGUGACAGCGGGAAUUUAAUAACUCUCAUAAUAUGAAUAUUACUUAUUUGUAUAUUAAAGAUCCUAUUUUAAGGAUAAUUAGAUUAAAUUACCUCAGGGAUAACAGCGUUAUUUCUUCGGAGAGUUCUUAUUGAUGAAGAAGUUUGCGACCUCGAUGUUGGAUUAAAAUUAGAGUUGAGUGCAGUGGCUUAAUUUCUAGGUCUGUUCGACCUUUAAAAUUUUACAUGAUCUGAGUUUCAACCGGGC
rnacentral:rRNA from 1 species